GUCUACAUCCAUAUAAUCCUGAACAUAUCAGAUCUUGUCUGAUCUUGCAAGCUAAGCAGGGUUGGACCUGGCUAGCACUUGGGUGGGAGAAAACA
rnacentral:rRNA from 1 species